rnacentral:rRNA from 1 species
GACGAACGCUGGCGGCGUGCCUAACACAUGCAAGUCGAGCGAAUGAAGUUCCUUCGGGAAUGGAUUUAGCGGCGGACGGGUGAGUAACACGUGGGUAACCUGCCUCAUAGAGGGGAAUAGCCUUCCGAAAGGGAGAUUAAUACCGCAUAACAUAGCACUACCGCAUGGUAGAGUUAUCAAAGGAGCAAUCCGCUAUGAGAUGGACCCGCGGCGCAUUAGCUAGUUGGUGAGGUAACGGCCCACCAAGGCGACGACGCGUAGCCGACCUGAGAGGGUGAUCGGCCACAUUGGAACUGAGACACGGUCCAGACUCCUACGGGAGGCAGCAGUGGGGAAUAUUGCGCAAUGGGGGAAACCCUGACGCAGCAACGCCGCGUGAGUGAAGAAGGCCUUAGGGUCGUAAACUUCUUUUGCAUGGGAAGAUAAUGACGGUACUGUGCGAAUAAGUCCCGGCUAACUACGUGCCAGCAGCCGCAGUAA